AAUACGAAAGUUCUUGAAGGUGGCCGGAAUUACUGGGCGUAAAGCGCACGCAGGCGGUCUGUCAAGUCGGAUGUGAAAUCCCCGGGCUCAACCUGGGAACUGCAU
rnacentral:rRNA from 1 species